GGUGAAGUGGCUCAAGUGGUAGAGCACCUGCCUAGCAAGCAGGAGGUUCUGAGUUCGAACCCCAGUACCGCCA